rnacentral:rRNA from 1 species
UACGGAGGGUGCAAGCGUUAUCCGGAAUUACUGGGUUUAAAGGGUGCGUAGGCGGCUUGAUAAGUCAGAGGUGAAAGCCUAUCGCUUAACGAUAGAAUUGCCCUUGAUACUGUAAAGCUUGAAAGGGGUUGAGGUCAGCAGAAUGUAGCAUGUAGCGGUGAAAUGCAUAGAUAUGCCAUAGAACACCGAUUGCGAAGGCAGCUGGCUGGGCCUACUUUGACGCUGAGGCACGAAAGCGUGGGGAGCGCACAGG